rnacentral:rRNA from 1 species
GAUGAACGCUGGCGGCGUGCCUAAUACAUGCAAGUCGAGCGAACGGACGAGAAGCUUGCUUCUCUGAUGUUAGCGGCGGACGGGUGAGUAACACGUGGAUAACCUACCUAUAAGACUGGGAUAACUUCGGGAAACCGGAGCUAAUACCGGAUAAUAUUUUGAACCGCAUGGUUCAAAAGUGAAAGACGGUCUUGCUGUCACUUAUAGAUGGAUCCGCGCUGCAUUAGCUAGUUGGUAGGGUAACGGCUUACCAAGGCAACGAUGCAUAGCCGACCUGAGAGGGUGAUCGGCCACACUGGAACUGAGACACGGUCCAGACUCCUACGGGAGGCAGCAGUAGGGAAUCUUCCGCAAUGGGCGAAAGCCUGACGGAGCAACGCCGCGUGAGUGAUGAAGGUCUUCGGAUCGUAAAACUCUGUUAUUAGGGAAGAACAUAUGUGUAAGUAACUGUGCACAUCUUGACGGUACCUAAUCAGAAAGCCACGGCUAACUACGUGCCAGCAGCCGCGGUAAUACGUAGGUGGCAAGCGUUAUCCGGAAUUAUUGGGCGUAAAGCGCGCGUAGGCGGUUUUUUAAGUCUGAUGUGAAAGCCCACGGCUCAACCGUGGAGGGUCAUUGGAAACUGGAAAACUUGAGUGCAGAAGAGGAAAGUGGAAUUCCAUGUGUAGCGGCGAAAUGCGCAGAGAUAUGGAGGAACACCAGUGGCGAAGGCGACUUUCUGGUCUGUAACUGACGCUGAUGUGCGAAAGCGUGGGGAUCAAACAGGAUUAGAUACCCUGGUAGUCCACGCCGUAAACGAUGAGUGCUAAGUGUUAGGGGGUUUCCGCCCCUUAGUGCUGCAGCUAACGCAUUAAGCACUCCGCCUGGGGAGUACGACCGCAAGGUUGAAACUCAAAGGAAUUGACGGGGACCCGCACAAGCGGUGGAGCAUGUGGUUUAAUUCGAAGCAACGCGAAGAACCUUACCAAAUCUUGACAUCCUUUGACAACUCUAGAGAUAGAGCCUUCCCCUUCGGGGGACAAAGUGACAGGUGGUGCAUGGUUGUCGUCAGCUCGUGUCGUGAGAUGUUGGGUUAAGUCCCGCAACGAGCGCAACCCUUAAGCUUAGUUGCCAUCAUUAAGUUGGGCACUCUAAGUUGACUGCCGGUGACAAACCGGAGGAAGGUGGGGAUGACGUCGAAUCAUCAUGCCCCUUAUGAUUUGGGCUACACACGUGCUACAAUGGACAAUACAAAGGGCAGCGAAACCGCGAGGUCAAGCAAAUCCCAUAAAGUUGUUCUCAGUUCGGAUUGUAGUCUGCAACUCGACUACAUGAAGCUGGAAUCGCUAGUAAUCGUAGAUCAGCAUGCUACGGUGAAUACGUUCCCGGGUCU